rnacentral:piRNA from 1 species
AGGAGAAGAAUUUGAAUAAAAGACUGUAGC